rnacentral:rRNA from 1 species
UAGUGGCAGACGGGUGAGUAAUGCGUAGGAAUCUACCUAGUAGUACGGAAUAGCCAUUAGAAAUGGUGGGUAAUACUGUAUAAUCCCCGAGGGGGAAAGAUUUAUCGCUAUUAGAUGAGCCUACGUUAGAUUAGCUAGUUGGUGAGGUAAUGGCUUACCAAGGCUAUGAUCUAUAGCUGGUCUGAGAGGACGAUCAGCCACACUGGAACUGAGAUACGGUCCAGACUCCUACGGGAGGCAGCAGUGGGGAAUAUUGGACAAUGGGCGAAAGCCUGAUCCAGCUAUGCCGCGUGAGUGAAGAAGGCCUUCGGGUUGUAAAACUCUUUCAAUAGGGAAGAUAAUGCCGGGUACCUAUA